UACAGAGGUGGCAAGCGUUGUUCGGAAUUACUGGGCGUAAAGGGCGCGUAGGCGGCCUCCUAAGUCGGACGUGAAAUCCCCAGGCUUAACCUGGGAACGUGCGUCCGAUACUGGGAGGCUUGAGUUCGGGAGAGGGAUGUGGAAUUCCAGGUGUAGCGGUGAAAUGCGUAGAUAUCUGGAGGAACACCGGUGGCGAAGGCGGCAUCCUGGACCGAAACUGACGCUGAGGCGCGAAAGCCAGGGGAGCAAACGGGAUUAGAAACCC
rnacentral:rRNA from 1 species